rnacentral:lncRNA from 1 species
GGGGCACAUCUGGCUGGGAAGUCACAUGGACUCUUCCAGGGAGAGAGACCAGCUGAGGCGUCUCUCUCUGAGGUUGUGUUGGGUCUAAGCGGGUGUGUGCUGGGCUCCAAGGAGGAGGAGCUUGCUGGGAAAAGACAGGAGAAGUACUGACUCAACUGCACUGACCAUGUUGUCAUAAUUAGAAUAAAGAAGAAGUGGUUGGAAAUGCACAUUCCUGGAUAGGAAUCACAGCUCACCCCAGGAUCUCACAGGUAGUCUCCUGAGUAGUUGACGGCUAGCGGGGAGCUAGUUCCGCCGCAUAGUUAUAGUGUUGAUGUGUGAACGCUGACCUGUCCUGUGUGCUAAGAGCUAUGCAGCUUAGCUGAGGCGCCUAGAUUACUAGAUGUGCUGUAUCACGGGGAAUGAGGUGGGGGUGCUUAUUUUUUAAUGAACUAAUCAGAGACUCUUGAGAAAUUGUUACUCAUUGAACUGGAGCAUCAAGACAUCUCAUGGAAAUGGAUACGGAGUGAUUUGGUGUCCAUGCUUUUCACUCUGAGGACAUUUAAUCGGAGAACCUCCUGGGGAAUUUUGUGGGAGACACUUGGGAACAAAACAGACACCCUGGGAAUGCAGUUGCAAGCACAGAUGCUGCCACCAGUGUCUCUGACCACCCUGGUGUGACUGCUGACUGCCAGCGUGGUACCUCCCAUGCUGCAGGCCUCCAUCUAAAUGAGACAACAAAGCACAAUGUUCACUGUUUACAACCAAGACAACUGCGUGGGUCCAAACACUCCUCUUCCUCCAGGUCAUUUGUUUUGCAUUUUUAAUGUCUUUAUUUUUUGUAAUGAAAAAGCACACUAAGCUGCCCCUGGAAUCGGGUGCAGCUGAAUAGGCACCCAAAAGUCCGUGACUAAAUUUCGUUUGUCUUUUUGAUAGCAAAUAAUGUUAAGAGACAGUGAUGGCUAGGGCUCAACAAUUUUGUAUUCCCAUGUUUGUGUGAGACAGAGUUUGUUUUCCCUUGAACUUGGUUAGAAUUGUGCUACUGUGAACGCUGAUCCUGCAUAUGGAAGUCCCACUUCGGUGACAUUUCCUGGCCAUUCUUGUUUCCAUUGUGUGGAUGGUGGGUUGUGCCCACUUCCUGGAGUGAGACAGCUCCUGGUGUGUAGAAUUCCCGGAGCGUCUGUGGUUCAGAGUAAACUUGAAGCAGAUCUCUGCAUGCUUUUCCUCUGCAACAAUUGGCUCAUUUCUCUUUUUUGUUCUCUUUUGAUAGGAUCCUGUUUCCUAUGUGUGCAAAAUAAAAAUAAAUUUGGGCAAAAAAAAA